rnacentral:rRNA from 1 species
AUUGAACGCUGGCGGCAGGCCUAACACAUGCAAGUCGGACGGUAGCACAGGGGAGCUUGCUCCUCGGGUGACGAGUGGCGGACGGGUGAGUAAUGUCUGGGGAUCUGCCCGAUAGAGGGGGAUAACCACUGGAAACGGUGGCUAAUACCGCAUAAUGUCGCAAGACCAAAGAGGGGGACCUUCGGGCCUCCCACUAUCGGAUGAACCCAGAUGUGAUUAGCUAGUAGGCGGGGUAACGGCCCACCUAGGCGACGAUCCCUAGCUGGGCUGAGAGGAUGACCAGCCACACUGGAACUGAGACACGGUCCAGACUCCUACGGGAGGCAGCAGUGGGGAAUAUUGCACAAUGGGCGCAAGCCUGAUGCAGCCAUGCCGCGUAUGAAGAAGGCCUUCGGGUUGUAAAGUACUUUCAGCGGGGAGGAAGGCGAUGUGGUUAAUAACCGCGUCGAUUGACGUUACCCGCAGAAGAAGCACCGGCUAACUCCGUGCCAGCCGCCGCUGUAA